rnacentral:rRNA from 1 species
GUAACUUGCGAUAAGCUCAGAUUAGGCAGUAACAGCCACUUGAGUCUGAGAUUUCCGAAUGGGGAAACCCAACUGCAUAAGCAGUUACUGUUAACUGAAUACAUAGGUUAAUGAAGCGAACCGGGGGAACUGAAACAUCUAAGUACCCCGAGGAGAAGAAAUCAACCGAGAUUCCGAUAGUAGCGGCGAGCGAAAUUGGAU